rnacentral:rRNA from 1 species
CUGCUGCCUCCCGUAGGAGUUUGGGCCGUGUCUCAGUCCCAAUGUGGCCGUUCACCCUCUCAGGCCGGCUACUGAUCGUCGCCUUGGUGGGCCGUUACCCCGCCAACCAGCUAAUCAGACGCGGGUCCAUCCUGUACCACCGGAGUUUUUCACACUGUAUCAUGCGAUACUGUGCGCUUAUGCGGUAUUAGCACCUAUUUCUAAGUGUUAUCCCCCUGUACAGGGCAGGUUCCCCACGCGUUACUCACCCGUCCGCCACUAAG